ensembl:snRNA U6 U6 spliceosomal RNA
AUGCUCACUUUGGCAACACAUAUACUGAAAUUGGAAUAAUACAGGGAAGAUUAGCAUGGCCCCUCUCCAAGGAUGACAAGCAAAUUCAUGAGGCACUUCAUGUUUUU